rnacentral:rRNA from 1 species
CUGCCAGUAGUCAUAUGCUUGUCUCAAAGAUUAAGCCAUGCAUGUGCAAAUAUGAACGAAUUUCAGACUGUGAAACUGC